AGAGUUUGAUCAUGGCUCAGGAUGAACGCUAGCUACAGGCUUAACACAUGCAAGUCGAGGGGAAACGACAUCGAAAGCUUGCUUUUGAUGGGCGUCGACCGGCGCACGGGUGAGUAACGCGUAUCCAACCUGCCCACCACUUGGGGAUAACCUUGCGAAAGUAAGACUAAUACCCAAUGACGUCUCUAGAAGACAUCUGAAAGAGAUUAAAGAUUUAUCGGUGAUGGAUGGGGAUGCGUCUGAUUAGCUUGGUUGGCGGGGUAACGGCCACGAAGGCGACGAUCAGUAGGGGUUCUGAGAGGAAGGUCCCCCANAUUGGAACUGAGACACGGUCCAAACUCCUACGGAGGCA
rnacentral:rRNA from 1 species